UACGUAGGGUGCAAGCGUUAAUCGGAAUUACUGGGCGUAAAGCGUGCGCAGGCGGUUUUGUAAGUCUGUCGUGAAAGCCCCGGGCUCAACCUGGGAAUUGCGAUGGAGACUGCAAGGCUUGAAUCUGGCAGAGGGGGGUAGAAUUCCACGUGUAGCAGUGAAAUGCGUAGAGAUGUGGAGGAACACCGAUGGCGAAGGCAGGUCUCUGGGCUAUAACUGACGCUCAUGCACGAAAGCGUGGGGAGCAAACAGG
rnacentral:rRNA from 1 species